rnacentral:precursor_RNA from 15 species
CAAGAACCGAACUGCUCUCCGGAGUUGGGGCACCGAUCGUUGGCGACUCAGGCUCCUCCAUGGGAGCAGUACCCUGAGUCGCCAACAAUCGGUGCCUCAACUCGGAGACCUCGGAGUCGGAGGCAG